UGGGAAUUUGGACAAUGGGCGAAGCCUGAUCCAGCAAUGCCGCGUGUGUGAAGAAGGCCUUCGGGUUGUAAAGCACUUUUGUCCGGAAAGAAAUCCUUGGCUCUAAUACAGUCGGGGGAUACGGUACCGGAAGAAUAAGCACCGGCUAACUACGUGCCAGCAGCCGCGGUAAUACGUAGGGUGCAAGCGUUAAUCGGAAUUACUGGGCGUAAAGCGUGCGCAGGCGGUUUGCUAAGACCGAUGUGAAAUCCCCGGGCUCAACCUGGGAACUGCAUUGGUGACUGGCAGGGCUAGAGUAUGGCAGAGGGGGGUAGAAUUCCACGUGUAGCAGUGAAAUGCGUAGAGAUGUGGAGGAAUACCGAUGGCGAAGGCAGCCCCCUGGCAAUACUGACGCUCAUGCACGAAAGCGUGGGGAGCAAACAGGAUUAGAUACCCUGGUAGUCCACGCCCUAAA
rnacentral:rRNA from 1 species